rnacentral:rRNA from 1 species
UGCGUAGGCGGUUAUAUUAGUCGGGUGUUAAAUCCUGAGGCUCAACCUCAGGCUCGCAUUCGAAACGGUAUAACUAGAAGAAGUCAGAGGUAAGCAGAACUCUCGGUGUAGGGGUGAAAUCCGUUGAUAUCGAGGGGAAUACCAAAUGCGAAGGCAGCUUACUGGGACUUUCUUGACGCUGAGGCACGAAAGCGUGGGUAGCGAACG